AUUGAACGCUAACGGCAUGCUUAACACAUGCAAGUCGAACGGCAGCAUGAUCUGUAGCAAUACAGAUUGAUGGCGAGUGGCGGACGGGUGAGCAAUGCAUAGGAAUCUACCUUGUAGUGGGGGAUAACCCGGGGAAACUCGGGCUAAUACCGCAUAAUCUCUACGGAGCAAAGUGGGGGCUCGUAAGACCUCACGCUAAAAGAUGAGCCUAUGUUGGAUUAGCUAGUUGGUAGGGUAAAGGCCUACCAAGGCAACGAUCCAUAGCUGGUCUGAGAGGAUGAUCAGCCGCACGGGGACUGAGACACGGCCCAGACUCCUACGGGAGGCAGCAGUGGGGAAUUUUGGACAAUGGGCGCAAGCCUGAUCCAGCAAUGCCGCGUGCAGGAAGAAGGCCUUCGGGUUGUAAACUGCUUUUGUCAGGGAAGAAAUCCUCUGGGUUAAUACCUCGGGGGGAUGACGGUACCUGAAGAAUAAGCACCGGCUAACUACGUGCCAGCCGCCGCGGUAAUAC
rnacentral:rRNA from 1 species